rnacentral:rRNA from 1 species
GAUGAACGCUGGCGGCGUGCUUAACACAUGCAAGUCGAACGGAAAGGCCCAAGCUUGCUUGGGUGCUCGAGUGGCGAACGGGUGAGUAACACGUGGGUGAUCUGCCCUGCACUUUGGGAUAAGCCUGGGAAACUGGGUCUAAUACCGGAUAGGACCAUCGUUUAGUGUCGGUGGUGGAAAGUUUUUCGGUGUGGGAUGAGCUCGCGGCCUAUCAGCUUGUUGGUGGGGUAAUGGCCUACCAAGGCGUCGACGGGUAGCCGGCCUGAGAGGGUGUACGGCCACAUUGGGACUGAGAUACGGCCCAGACUCCUACGGGAGGCAGCAGGGGGGAAUAUUGCACAAUGGGCGCAAGCCUGAUGCAGCGACGCCGCGUGGGGGAGGACGGCCUUCGGGUUGUAAACGCCUUUCGCCAAGGACGAAGCGUUUUGUGACGGUACUUGGAGAAGAAGCACCGGCUAACUACGUG